GACAGAGGUGGCAAGCGUUGUUCGGAUUCAUUGGGUGUAAAGGGUUCGUAGGUGGCCCAUUAAGUCUGACGUGAAAUCCCAGAGCUCAACUCUGGAACUGCGUUGGAAACUAUUGGGCUUGAGUGCCGGAGAGGUUAGGGGAAUUCCAGGUGUAAGGGUGAAAUCUGUAGAUAUCUGGAGGAACACCAGUGGCGAAGGCGCCUAACUGGCCGGUUACUGACGCUGAGGAACGAAAGCAAGGGGAGCAAACAGG
rnacentral:rRNA from 1 species